GACGAACGCUGGCGGCGUGCCUAAUACAUGCAAGUCGAGCGGACUGAUUAAGAGCUUGCUCUUAUGACGUUAGCGGCGGACGGGUGAGUAACACGUGGGCAACCUGCCCUGUAGAUCGGGAUAACACCGAGAAAUCGGUGCUAAUACCGGGUAAUAUCUGAGAUCACAUGAUCUUAGGUUAAAAGAUGGCUCCGGCUAUCACUACAGGAUGGGCCCGCGGCGCAUUAGCUAGUUGGUAAGGUAAUGGCUUACCAAGGCGACGAUGCGUAGCCGACCUGAGAGGGUGAUCGGCCACACUGGGACUGAGACACGGCCCAGACUCCUACGGGAGGCAGCAGUAGGGAAUCUUCCGCAAUGGACGAAAGUCUGACGGAGCAACGCCGCGUGAGUGAUGAAGGGGUUCGGCUCGUAAAGCUCUGUUGUUAGGGAAGAAACAGUACCGAACGAACUAGGUCGGUACCUUGACGGUACCUAACCAGAAAGCCACGGCUAACUACGUG
rnacentral:rRNA from 1 species